rnacentral:lncRNA from 1 species
GGUAGUCUCACUCCUGUCCAUUCACCUACAGGUUGAGUAUCCCUUAUCCAAAAUGCUUGGGGCCAGAAGUGUCUCAGAUUUAAGAUUUUUUUCGGAUUUUGGAAUAUUUGCAUAUACAUAAUGAGAUAUCUUGGGAAUGAGACCCCAGGCUAAACAGGAAAUCCAUUUAUGUUUUAUAUACACACAGCCUGAAGCAGUUUUAUAUAAUAUUUUGAAUAAUUUUAUGCAUGAAACAAAGUUUGUGCACAUUGAAGCAAGUGUGGAAUUUUCCACUUGUGGCAUUAUGUCGGUGCUAAAAAAUGUUUUAGAUUUUGGAGCAUUUUGGAUCUCAGAACUUUGCAUUAGGAAUUGAGGACUAAGUCUGAUAUUCUGUCUUACCCAGAUUCCUACCUAAGAGGUCUAGGAAGUCAUGCCCUACAAACCAUACAUUCUCAUCAGAUGGGUUUUAUUUGACCCUAUAUGUUGUGAUUUACUUUUCAAUCUGACUCUGGCAUAACAUUAUGAGACAAGGAAAAAAAUAUUUAACCCCAAAAUAUAUUUCCGUGCCAUACCUUGAAAUUGCCCUGCAAAGUCUCUUGUGGGAAAAAUCCACAUUCUAUAGAGAUUCCCCUUCCGCCUUUGUUUUCCUUCCUUUCUUUCCAGAUCCAGGAGAUAAUCAACUAAGUAAGAGCCAGGCACCCUUUUAAGUCCGAUAAGAGACAAUUUACAACUUGCUCUGUCUGAAGUCUGCUAUCUGAGAGCUUCCUCUGCACAAUAAAACUUGGUCUCUAUAAUCCUUUAUCUUUAAACUGAACAUUCCUUUCUAUGGAUCCCAGGUCUUUAGACAAACUCAAACAAUUGUCAACCAGAAAAUGUUUAAAUUUACCUAUAGCCUGGAAGCCCCCCGCUUUGAGUUGUUCUGCCUUUCUGAACCAAAUCAAUGUAUUUCUUAUAUGUAUUUGAUUGAUGUCUCAUACCUUCCUAAAAUACAUAAAACCAAGAUGUAUCCCGACCACCUUGGGCACAUGUUCUCAGGACCUCCUGAGGGCUGUGUCAC